AUUGAACGCUGGCGGCAGGCCUAACACAUGCAAGUCGAGCGAGAGGCGGACGGGUGAGUAAUGUAUGGGAAACUGCCCGAUAGAGGGGGAUAACUACUGGAAACGGUGGCUAAUACCGCAUACUAUCGGAUGAACCCAUAUGGGAUUAGCUAGUAGGGGGGGUAAAGGCUCACCAAGGCGACGAUCUCUAGCUGGUCUGAGAGGAUGAUCAGCCACACUGGAACUUAGACACGGCCCAGACUCCUACGGGAGGCAGCAGUGGGGAAUAUUGCACAAUGGGCGAAAGCCUGAUGCAGCCAUGCCGGGUGUAUGAAGAAGGCCUUAGGGUUGUAAAGUACUUUAAGCGGGGAGGCGUUACCCGCAGAAGAAGCACCGGCUAACUCCGUGCCAGCCGCCGCGGUAAUAC
rnacentral:rRNA from 1 species